rnacentral:misc_RNA from 1 species
GAUGAAGACGUAGCGAAAUGCGAUAAGUAAUGUGAAUUGCAGAAUUCAGUGAAUCAUCGAAUCUUUGAACGCACCUUGCGCUCCUUGGUAUUCCGAGGAGCAUGCCUGUUUGAGUGUCAUUAAAUUCUCAACCAUUAUCAACUUUUGCUGAUAAUGGCUUGGAUGUGGGGGUCUAUUUUGCUGGCUUCUCAGAUAGUCAGCUCCCCUUAAAUGCAUUAGCCGGUGCCCCGCGUGGACUGUCUAUUGGUGUGAUAAUUAUCUACGCUAUAGACAUCUGCAAUCAUAUGGGUUUGCGCUGCUUCUAACAGUCUGUUGAUUCAGACAAUACAUGACAAUUUGACCUCAAAUCAGGUAGGACUACCCGCUGAACUUAAGCAUAUCAAUAAGCGGAGGA